ACCCAGACUCCUACGGGAGGCAGCAGUAGGGAAUUUUGCGCAAUGGGCGAAAGCCUGACGCAGCAACGCCGCGUGAUUGAUUAAGCCCUUCGGGGUGUAAAGAUCUGUCAGUGGGGACGAAACUUGACGGUACCCACAGAGGAAGCACCGGCUAACUACGUGCCAGCAGCCGCGGUAAUACGUAGGGGGCAAGCGUUAUCCGGAUUUACUGGGUGUAAAGGGGGCGCAGACGGCGAUGCAAGCCAGGAGUGAAAGCCCGGGGCCCAACCCCGGGACUGCUCUUGGAACUGCGUGGCUAGAGUGCAGGAGGGGCAGGCGGAAUUCCUGGUGUAGCGGUGAAAUGCGUAGAUAUCAGGAGGAACACCGGUGGCGAAGGCGGCCUGCUGGACUGCAACUGACGUUGAGGCCCGAAAGCGUGGGGAGCAAACAGGAUUAGAUACCCGAGUA
rnacentral:rRNA from 1 species